rnacentral:rRNA from 1 species
GAUCCUGGCCCAGGAUGAACGCUGGCGGCGUGCUUAACACAUGCAAGUCGAACGAAGCACUUUAUUUGAUUUCCUUCGGGACUGAUUAUUUUGUGACUGAGUGGCGGACGGGUGAGUAACGCGUGGGUAACCUGCCUUGUACAGGGGGAUAACAGUUGGAAACGGCUGCUAAUACCGCAUAAGCGCACGGCAUCGCAUGAUGCAGUGUGAAAAACUCCGGUGGUAUAAGAUGGACCCGCGUUGGA